rnacentral:rRNA from 1 species
CAGCAGCCGCGGGAAAACGGAGGGUGCAAGCGUUAAUCGGAAUUACUGGGCGUAAAGCGCACGCAGGCGGUUUGUUAAGUCAGAUGUGCAAUCCCCGGGCUCAACCUGGGAACUGCAUUUGUGACUGGCAAGCUAGAGUGUGGCAGAGGGGGGUGGAAUUCCGCGUGUAGCAGUGAAAUGCGUGGAUAUGCGGAGGAACACCGAUGGCGAAGGCAGCCCCCUGGGCCAACACUGACGCUCAUGCACGAAAGCGUGGGGAGCAAACAGGAUUAGAUACCCGAGUAGUCCCUGUCUCUUAUAC